GUCAGACGGAAUAAUUCAAUGGCACUUACGCGUCCACACUCGGUUUCGGAAUUCGAUUCGAGAGUUAGGCAAACAUUGGCCAACGCGCAGCGGAACGGCAAAACAAACAAGCGUAUCGCUUCGUCGCAAAAGUCCAACUGAUCUCUCGCUAGAAACUGCUCGCCACCACCACCACCACCACCACCAUCAUCCAAUUAAAAAACCAAAAAGAAGCCCCAACUAUCGCCAGGUGUCUGUUUGGCGCCUAUCGAUAUCAGUCUAGCUUGCUAUCAAAAUCGUUUACUGCUGGAAUGAUUUUAGGAUUUCAAAAUAAAUUAACAGUAUUUUU
ensembl:ncRNA asRNA:CR45341 antisense RNA:CR45341